rnacentral:rRNA from 1 species
AGUGAACGCUGGCGGCAGGCCUAACACAUGCAAGUCGAACGGCAGCACAGUAAGAGCUUGUUCUUACGGGUGGCGAGUGGCGGACGGGUGAGGAAUACAUCGGAAUCUACUUUUUCGUGGGGGAUAACGUAGGGAAACUUACGCUAAUACCGCAUACGACCAACGGGUGAAAGCAGGGGAUCUUCGGACUUUGCGCGAUAGAUUGAGCCGAUGUCGGAUUAGCUAGUUGGCGGGGUAAAGGCCCACCAAGGCGACGAUCCGUAGCUGGUCUGAGAGGAUGAUCAGCCACACUGGAACUGAGACACGGUCCAGACUCCUACGGGAGGCAGCAGUGGGGAAUAUUCGACAAUGGGCGCAAGCCUGAUCCAGCCAUACCGCGUGGGUGAAGAAGGCCUUCGGGUUGUAAAGCCCUUUUGUUGGGAAAGAAAAGCAGCAGGUUAAUACCCCGCUGUUCUGACGGUACCCAAAGAAUAAGCACCGGCUAACUACGUG